rnacentral:tRNA from 1 species
GACGAGGGACCGAGCGGUUAAGGUGAGGACUGCUAACCAUGUGCAUUGCACGCGUGGUUCGAAUCCCAUCCUCGUCG